CUUUUACAAUGAAGAGUUUGAUCCUGGCUCAGGAUGAACGCUAGCUACAGGCUUAACACAUGCAAGUCGAGGGGCAGCAUUUCAGUUUGCUUGCAAACUGGAGAUGGCGACCGGCGCACGGGUGAGUAACACGUAUCCAACCUGCCGAUAACUCGGGGAUAGCCUUUCGAAAGAAAGAUUAAUACCCGAUGGUAUAAUUAGACCGCAUGGUCUUGUUAUUAAAGAAUUUCGGUUAUCGAUGGGGAUGCGUUCCAUUAGGCAGUUGGUGAGGUAACGGCUCACCAAACCUUCGAUGGAUAGGGGUUCUGAGAGGAAGGUCCCCCACAUUGGAACUGAGACACGGUCCAAACUCCUACGGGAGGCAGCAGUGAGGAAUAUUGGUCAAUGGGCGCAGGCCUGAACCAGCCAAGUAGCGUGAAGGAUGACUGCCCUAUGGGUUGUAAACUUCUUUUAUAUGGGAAUAAAGUUUUCCACGUGUGGAAUUUUGUAUGUACCAUAUGAAUAAGGAUCGGCUAACUCCGUGCCAGCAGCCGCGGUAAUACGGAGGAUCCGAGCGUUAUCCGGAUUUAUUGGGUUUAAAGGGAGCGUAGGUGGACAGUUAAGUCAGUUGUGAAAGUUUGCGGCUCAACCGUAAAAUUGCAGUUGAUACUGGCUGUCUUGAGUACAGUAGAGGUGGGCGGAAUUCGUGGUGUAGCGGUGAAAUGCUUAGAUAUCACGAAGAACUCCGAUUGCGAAGGCAGCUCACUGGACUGCAACUGACACUGAUGCUCGAAAGUGUGGGUAUCAAACAGGAUUAGAUACCCUGGUAGUCCACACAGUAAACGAUGAAUACUCGCUGUUUGCGAUAUACAGUAAGCGGCCAAGCGAAAGCAUUAAGUAUUCCACCUGGGGAGUACGCCGGCAACGGUGAAACUCAAAGGAAUUGACGGGGGCCCGCACAAGCGGAGGAACAUGUGGUUUAAUUCGAUGAUACGCGAGGAACCUUACCCGGGCUUAAAUUGCAUUUGAAUAUAUUGGAAACAGUAUAGUCGUAAGACAAAUGUGAAGGUGCUGCAUGGUUGUCGUCAGCUCGUGCCGUGAGGUGUCGGCUUAAGUGCCAUAACGAGCGCAACCCUUAUCUUUAGUUACUAACAGGUCAUGCUGAGGACUCUAGAGAGACUGCCGUCGUAAGAUGUGAGGAAGGUGGGGAUGACGUCAAAUCAGCACGGCCCUUACGUCCGGGGCUACACACGUGUUACAAUGGGGGGUACAGAAGGCAGCUACCUGGUGACAGGAUGCUAAUCCCAAAAGCCUCUCUCAGUUCGGAUCGAAGUCUGCAACCCGACUUCGUGAAGCUGGAUUCGCUAGUAAUCGCGCAUCAGCCAUGGCGCGGUGAAUACGUUCCCGGGCCUUGUACACACCGCCCGUCAAGCCAUGAAAGCCGGGGGUACCUGAAGUACGUAACCGCAAGGAGCGUCCUAGGGUAAAACUGGUAAUUGGGGCUAAGUCGUAACAAGGUAGCCGUACCGGAAGGUGCGGCUGGAACACCUCCUUUCU
rnacentral:rRNA from 1 species